ACGGGAGGCAGCAGUGGGGAAUAUUGGGCAAUGGGCGAAAGCCUGACCCAGCAACGCCGCGUGAAGGAAGAAGGCCUUCGGGUUGUAAACUUCUUUUAUCAGGGACGAAGAACGUGACGGUACCUGAUGAAUAAGCCACGGCUAACUACGUGCCAGCAGCCGCGGUAAUACGUAGGUGGCAAGCGUUAUCCGGAUUUACUGGGUGUAAAGGGCGCGUAGGCGGGGAUGCAAGUCAGGUGUGAAAUCUAUGGGCUUAACCCAUAAACUGCAUUUGAAACUGUAUCUCUUGAGUGUCGGAGAGGUAGAUGGAAUUCCUAGUGUAGCGGUGAAAUGCGUAGAUAUAAGGAAGAACACCAGUGGCGAAGGCGGAUUGCUGGACAGUAACUGACGGUGAGGCGCGAAAGUGUGGGGAGCAAACAGGAUUAGAUACCCUGGUA
rnacentral:rRNA from 1 species